rnacentral:RNase_P_RNA from 1 species
AAGGCCGUCCAUGAGGAAAGUCCGGGCUCCACAGGGCAAGGAUAACGGGUAACGCCCGCCGAAGGCGACUUCAGGAAAAGUGCAACAGAGAUAUACCGCCAUUGCGGUAAAACCGUGCUGGUAAGGAAAAGAGAAUGUCUGUGUUCCCGGUAAUCGCGCAGCGGAACCGGGAAGCGGGGGAUCGUGUGAAAGGAUGCCGGUGAUAUUUGCCUUUCACGAUUACAAUCAUUCCCCGCCGCAACGGAUCGCCCCUUAAUUAAGGGGCGCGGACACCUUUCCACCCUUAUCACUGCGGUUUUGCCGCAAUGGUAAGGGUGGAAAGGUGCGGUAAGAGCGCACCCGACGGCUGGGAACUGUCCGUCGCUGUAAACUCUAUCCGGAGCAACACCGUGGGAGGACAGAUAGGCUGGCCCGGCCGUCCUCAGGAGGUGGCUUGAGCGUGCCGGCAACGGUGCGCCUAGAUAGAUGACUGUCAAAUACAGAACCCGGCUUACAGUUUUGCUCGUGAA